rnacentral:rRNA from 1 species
GAUGAACGCUGGCGGCGUGCUUAACACAUGCAAGUCGAACGGAGUUGUCUCGCUGAAGCGAGCUUGCUCAAUUCUUGAGACAACUUAGUGGCGGACGGGUGAGUAACGCGUGGGUAACCUGCCAUAUACAGGGGGAUAACACUUAGAAAUAGGUGCUAAUACCGCAUAAGCGCACAGUUUCGCAUGAAACAGUGUGAAAAACUCCGGUGGUAUAUGAUGGACCCGCGUCUGAUUAGCUAGUUGGUAAGGUAACGGCUUACCAAGUCUGCGAUCGGUAGCCGGACUGAGAGGUUGAACGGCCACAUUGGAACUGAGAUACGGUCCAGACUCCUACGGGAGGCAGCAGUGGGGAAUAUUGGGCAAUGGGCGAAAGCCUGACCCAGCGACGCCGCGUGAGGGAAGAAGGUCUUCGGAUUGUAAACCUCUGUUGUAAGGGAAGAAGAAAGUGACGGUACCUUACGAGGAAGCCACGGCUAACUACGUG